rnacentral:misc_RNA from 1 species
GAUGAAGAACGUAGCGAAAUGCGAUACUUGGUGUGAAUUGCAGAAUCCCGUGAACCAUCGAGUCUUUGAACGCAAGUUGCGCCCGAAGCCUCGGCUAAGGGCACGUCUGCCUGUGCGUCACGCAUCGCGUCUCCCCCAAACCGCCAAGGCGGAGGGGAAGGAAGAUGGCUUCCCGUGCCUCACCCGGCGCGGUUGGCCUAAAUUUGGAGCCCGCGGCACUUAGCUCUCGCGGCGAUAGGUGGUGAACAAGGCCUUGGCCGUGCAAACAACCCGCUGCGAAGCUCUAUGUCACGUGCGCUCGUCGGACCCUUUGAAGUUGCCUUCGGUGACUUAAAACCUUUGCGACCCCAGGUCAGGCGGGGCUACCCGCUGAAUUUAAGCAUAUCAAUAAGCGGAGGA